GUAUAUGGUAUACUAAAGCAUGGAAUGUUAGGUUUUUUUUAUGUUCAUUCGAAAAACAUUUCACUGAUAUGUGACGUCACUAGGUAUAUGUGAAGUGCCACCAGUUCAAACUUAUGCACUCAUACGCUUAGCUGCAGAACUGUAGCUCUCUGACAAAUUAUUGUGACGGAGCAGAGAGCUACAGAUCCACCCCGUACAAAAAUCUUCGAUUUACGGCGCACAAAAAGCUGUGCACGUUUGAGGCCUGAUAUCGUUGUAUUUUCGUGUUGCUGUCUCAUAAAUUUCAUAUAAAAAAUUCUUAGCAUAUUUUCCUACUAUACUUGUGUCCAAACAUACCUUCAAAUAUUCAUCAAAGCCCCAUACGACUCGAACAUUCACAGCUUCAAAUGAUUUCGUUUGUUGACGUAGCCAUGUCUGGUAGCCGGUCAAUUCGAACACUGUUGCUAUUGGUACAUGUUCAUAAAACUUGUUAUAAGUUAUGCAUUCGCUCUUCAUUUAUUAUCAACACGAAUAAUUAAUAGAGAUUGAAAAAAAUAUAGUUUUUCUAAAGGUAAAUUCAGCUAAUGAAAAUUCUACAAAAGCCUAUUAUGGUCCUUAACACACGUGUGGCAGGGAUGGAGACCAAACCAGAUUAAUGAAAGCUGCAUUGCCGUAAUUUUGCUAUUUGAAUAAUUAUCAUUUAAACGAACUGAGAUGAUACAUCAUCUAAAAUUUUAGCUAGAAUAUUUGUGGGAAUACUAGUUCACAUCUAGACGUUAUUGUGCAAUUUUUUUUUACAUGAAACGGGAUUCGAAUUGACUGGCUGCCUAACAUGGCUAAGUCAACAAACGAAAUCAUCAAAAGCUGUUUGUCUUCGGGUCGUAUGGGGCUUUAAGGAAUAUUUGAAGAAAAGCGUACUUAUAGUAGUAGAUGGAGCGAAAGGACUUUCCUUAACCUGCAGCAAUACAUCACAAGGGAAUGUCACCUUAGCCAAUGAGAAAAGAUCUCCACUGUCUGAAUGGAAUGAGCGCGUAGAGAACGAAUAUACCUGGACAACACAGAACACGGAGACAGAAGAAUCCUACUUUGAGUACACACCAUUUGUUUCAUGUAUUGCAAAAGACAAAAAUGGUGAAAUCAAAUUUGAUCACGUUAUUUGGUAAUCAGAAUUUUGAAAAUUAAAAAUAGAUGUCUUCGAAAAA